rnacentral:rRNA from 2 species
GCGACCCCAGGACGGGCGAGGCCACCCGCCGAGUUUAAGCAUAUCAAUAAGCGGAGGAGAA